CUCCUCGCUCGCCUCAGACAGGCACGGAUAAGAUCACCGCCGCGGGCGGCUGCUACUGUCACCCGUAGCGGGCCCCUCAUUGAUUUGUUUAAUUUCUCAGGAGCAUAUAAGAUUUGAUGAUCCUAAAGCAGCUAUAUAUCUACAGACAAACCAAAUACACUUUAAUGUGAAAGUUACUAGCCGUGGAUGGUGAGUGCCAAGGUAGGCAAGGUAUCAAGCAAGAGUACAAGAGGUUGGCAAGGGGCUGGAAACACUACCAGCAUGUGUUUCUGGGAAGGGAGCAGGAACGCCAGACUCAGCCUCAUGGCAAUUUACUGUCCACACCCUCAUUCCAUGAUGACUGUGGGUGCAUGCAGACCACCUUGGUUCAACUAAACAGUUAAGCACUGUCAUUUUCUUAUGGAGGUAAGUCCAUAACAGAGAUCAUUCUGUCUUUCUGUGCUGUGGGUUCCUCUCCUUUCACUGUCAAUUGUGGAACAGUUAUGGUAACAGCCUGAUUGACACAUUGUGUAUCAGAUAUAUGCUGUACACUCAGCGCUGGAGCAAGAGCUACUGAUAUCCCUCUCCCCAUCUGCCUUCCCCUCCUGCACCUGGCUGCAUGCCAAGAUCUUGAGAUAAGGCACUGGACAUUGUGCUAAGGACCACAGCUGCUUGCCCAACCCCCCCAAGCCUGCCCUUUUAAUAACCAGUGCAGCACAUACAAUCAAGUCCUGGGAUUGUUGAGGCCUGACAACCCCACUAGCACUGCCCCACUUCUCACCUGCAUCAUCAUGUGAAAGUGUAUUCUACAUCUUUCACUACAUGGCACUGCUCUGGCCCUCCUGCAAAAACCUGAUGGCAUUCAAUGUAGAAAAGUGCAGGGUGCUCCACCAU